AGAGUUUGAUCCUGGCUCAGAACGAACGCUGGCGGCGUGGCUAAGGCAUGCAAGUCGAACGAACCUUUCUGCGGGGUAACUUGAAGGGAAGUUAGUGGCGAACGGGUGAGUAAUGAAUGGGUAACGUACCCCGGACUCAGGGAUAGCGGCGUCCCCCGAGCAAUCGGGAGACUUUGCGAAAGUGCCGGUAAUACCUGAUGACCCCGCGUGAUCGCAUGUUCAUGCGGGCAAAGCUUCCGGCGGUCCGGGAUCGGCCCAUUUCCUAUCAGCUUGUUGGUGGGGUAACGGCCUACCAAGGCUGCGACGGGUAUCGGGUGUGAGAGCAUGACCCGACACAUCGGGACUGAGACACGGCCCGGACACCUACGGGUGGCUGCAGCAACGAAUAUUCCGCAAUGGGCGAAAGCCUGACGGAGCGACGCCGCGUGCAGGAAGAAGUCCUUCGGGAUGUAAACUGCUGUCAGGGGUUAGGAAUCAUGACCAGCCCCACAGGAAGCACUGGCUAACUCCGUGCCAGCAGCCGCGGUAAUACGGAGAGUGCAAGCGUUGUUCGGAAUCAUUGGGCUUAAAGCGCGUGUAGGCGGAGUGCCAGGUGCCGUGUGAAAGCCCCGGGCUCAACCCGGGAAUUGCUUGGCAAACCGGCACUCUUGAGGCAGGCAGAGGUGACUGGAACGACUGGUGGAGCGGUGAAAUGCGUAGAUAUCAGUUGGAACGCCGGAGGCGAAAGCGGGUCGCUGGGCCUGUCCUGACGCUGAGACGCGAAAGCGUGGGUAGCGAACAGGAUUAGAUACCCUGGUAGUCCACGCCGUAAACGAUGCGCACUACGUAGGAGCGGCUCUGACGCCGGUCGUGCCGAAGGAAAACUACUAAGUGCGCCGCCUGGGGAGUACGGCCGCAAGGCUAAAACUCAAAGGAAUUGACGGGGGCUCACACAAGCGGUGGAGCAUGUGGAUUAAUUCGAAGCAACGCGAAGAACCUUACCUGGGUUUGACAUGCACGGAUGCUCUUCUGGAAACAGGAGUAGGCUGCCUUCGGGUGAAACGUGCACAGGUGCUGCAUGGCUGUCGUCAGCUCGUGCUGUGAAGUGUCGGGUUAAGUCCCUUAACGAGCGAAACCCCUAUCGCUAGUUGCCAGCGGGUCAUGCCGGGGACUCUAGCGAGACCGCCGGCGUCAAGCCGGAGGAAGGUGGGGAUGACGUCAAGUCAUCAUGGCCUUUAUGUCCAGGGUGUCACACGUGCUACAAUGGUCGGUACAGAGCGACGCGAGACCGUAAGGUGGAGCAAACCGCAUAAAACCGGCCCCAGUUCGGAUUGAAGUCUGCAACUCGACUUCAUGAAGUUGGAAUCGCUAGUAAUCGCGUAUCAGCCAUGACGCGGUGAAUGUGUUCCUGAGCCUUGUACACACCGCCCGUCAAGUCAUGGAAGCCGGGAGUACCCGAAGUCCGUUCAGCCAACCCUCACGUGGUGGAAGGCGGCGGCCGACGGUAAGCCCGGUGACUGGGACUAAGUCGUAACAAGGUAACC
rnacentral:rRNA from 1 species